GGGUUGUGAGGUUAAGCGACUAAGCGUACACGGUGGAUGCCCUGGCAGUCAGAGGCGAUGAAGGGCGUGCUAAUCUGCGAUAAGCGCCGGUAAGGUGAUAUGAACCGUUAUAACCGGCGAUACCCGAAUGGGGAAACCCAGUGUGAUUCGUCACACUAUCAUUAACUGAAUCCAUAGGUUAAUGAGGCGAACCGGGGGAACUGAAACAUCUAAGUACCCCGAGGAAAAGAAAUCAACCGAGAUUCCCCCAGUAGCGGCGAGCGAACGGGGAGGAGCCCAGAGCCUGAAUCAGCAUGUGUGUUAGUGGAAGCGUCUGGAAAGGCGCGCGAUACAGGGUGACAGCCCCGUACACAAAAGCGCAUGUGCUGUGAGCUCGAUGAGUAGGGCGGGACACGUGGUAUCCUGUCUGAAUAUGGGGGGACCAUCCUCCAAGGCUAAAUACUCCUGACUGACCGAUAGUGAACCAGUACCGUGAGGGAAAGGCGAAAAGAACCCCGGCGAGGGGAGUGAAAAAGAACCUGAAACCGUGUACGUACAAGCAGUGGGAGCACAGGUUUACCUGUGUGACUGCGUACCUUUUGUAUAAUGGGUCAGCGACUUAUAUUCUGUAGCAAGGUUAACCGAAUAGGGGAGCCGGAGGGAAACCGAGUCUUAACCGGGCGUUAAGUUGCAGGGUAUAGACCCGAAACCCGGUGAUCUAGCCAUGGGCAGGUUGAAGGUUGGGUAACACUAACUGGAGGACCGAACCGACUAAUGUUGAAAAAUUAGCGGAUGACCUGUGGCUGGGGGUGAAAGGCCAAUCAAACCGGGAGAUAGCUGGUUCUCCCCGAAAGCUAUUUAGGUAGCGCCUCGUGAAUUCAUCUCCGGGGGUAGAGCACUGUUUCGGCUAGGGGGCCAUCCCGGCUUACCAACCCGAUGCAAACUGCGAAUACCGGAGAAUGUUAUCACGGGAGACACACGGCGGGUGCUAACGUCCGUCGUGAAGAGGGAAACAACCCAGACCGCCAGCUAAGGUCCCAAAGUCAUGGUUAAGUGGGAAACGAUGUGGGAAGGCCCAGACAGCCAGGAUGUUGGCUUAGAAGCAGCCAUCAUUUAAAGAAAGCGUAAUAGCUCACUGGUCGAGUCGGCCUGCGC
rnacentral:rRNA from 1 species